rnacentral:lncRNA from 1 species
GGCACUUACUCUGCUGUGAACUGGUUCUUCCUAGGCGGCGCCAUUGCUCCCUUCCUUGUCUGGUGUACACAGAAAGCAUUCCCGGCUCAGAAAUGGAUCCGACAUGUCAAUGUGCCUGUAUUGAUUGGUGCAACCAGCUUGAUGCCGCCUGGCACUGCAGUCAACUAUACCACAUGGAUACUCAUUGCAUUUUUGUCAGGUUACGUGGUCUAUAGGUACCGACGUAAUUGGUGGGAGCGACACAAUUACCUGCUCUCAGGUGCCCUUGACGCUGGUUUGGCAUUCAUGGCUGUAUUGCUAUAUCUAUG